GGAUCCGGCACGGCCAGGCGGCUCCAGCCUCCCCCCGCAGGAGCCCGGAGCGCUGAAUCGGGACAUUGUGUGCCGGAGCUGGCCGGCAUCGAGCGCGCUCCGUGUAUGUGGCUGCUGGAGGUGGCCGGGCAGCAGCCCCCGAGGCGGGCAGGUGCGGGCUGCAUGGAGAAAAGCGGCUGCAGCCCUUUCCCCAUGUGCUGGGCUAAAGAAUAUGACAGAUACCUAGCAUCUAGCAAAACCAUGGCAGCAGCUUACCUUGACCCAAACUUGAAUCACACCCCAAGUUCAGGUGCAAAGACUCACCUCAGUACUGGCAUGGAACGUUCCCCAGGGGCCAUGGAACGAGUCCUGAAGGUUUUCCACUACUUUGAAAUCAACAGUGAGCCAACAACGUGGGCCAGCAACAUCCGGCAUGGAGACGCCACCGAUGUCCGAGGCAUAAUUCAGAAGAUUGUGGACAGUCAGAAAGUGAAGAAUGUGGCCUGCUAUGGGUUACGGCUCAGCCACCUGCAGUCUGAGGAGGUUCACUGGCUGCACCUGGACAUGGGGGUGUCCAGUGUGAGAGAGAAAUUUGAACUAGCCCACCCUCCAGAAGAAUGGAAAUAUGAAUUGAGAAUUCGGUAUUUGCCAAAAGGAUUUCUAAACCAGUUCACUGAGGACAAACCAACUCUAAAUUUUUUCUAUCAGCAGGUGAAAAAUGACUAUAUGUUAGAAAUAGCAGAUCAAGUGGACCAGGAAAUUGCUUUGAAACUAGGUUGCCUUGAAAUCCGGAGAUCCUACGGAGAGAUGAGAGGCAAUGCAUUAGAAAAGAAGUCCAACUAUGAAGUGUUAGAGAAAGAUGUUGGUUUGAGACGGUUUUUCCCGAAGAGUUUGCUAGAUUCAGUGAAGGCCAAAACACUACGGAAAUUAAUCCAACAAACAUUUCGACAAUUUGCCAACCUCAAUAGAGAAGAAAGUAUUUUGAAGUUCUUUGACAUCCUCUCUCCAGUGUACAGAUUUGACAAGGAAUGCUUCAAGUGUGCUCUUGGUUCAAGCUGGAUUAUUUCAGUGGAGCUGGCAAUUGGCCCAGAAGAAGGAAUCAGUUACCUGACAGACAAGGGUGCAAAUCCAACCCAUCUAGCAGAUUUCAAUCAAGUGCAAACCAUUCAGUAUUCAAACAGUGAAGACAAGGACAGAAAAGGGAUGUUGCAACUCAAGAUAGCAGGUGCACCUGAGCCUCUGACAGUGACAGCACCAUCCUUAACCAUUGCAGAGAACAUGGCAGACCUGAUCGACGGCUACUGCCGCCUGGUCAACGGGGCCACGCAGUCCUUCAUCAUCAGGCCUCAGAAAGAAGGUGAAAGAGCUUUACCAUCAAUACCAAAGCUGGCCAACAAUGAGAAGCAAGGAGUGAGGUCUCACACGGUCUCUGUGUCAGGAGUCAAUCACUGUCAGCAUAAAGUAAAGAAAGCUAGACGCUUUCUGCCUUUCGUCUUCUGUGCCCAUGAGUCGCCGCCCAAGGAUGAAAUUAGUGGGGACGAGACUGAUGACUAUGCAGAGAUUAUAGAUGAAGAAGACACUUACACAAUGCCCUCAAAAAGCUAUGGAAUAGAUGAAGCCAGAGAUUAUGAAAUUCAAAGGGAGAGGAUUGAGCUGGGGCGCUGCAUUGGGGAAGGACAGUUUGGAGAUGUGCACCAAGGAGUUUACAUGAGCCCGGAAAAUCCAGCUAUGGCUGUUGCAAUCAAAACGUGUAAAAACUGCACUUCAGACAGUGUUAGAGAAAAAUUCUUACAAGAAGCCUUAACAAUGCGUCAGUUUGAUCACCCCCACAUUGUGAAGCUCAUUGGGGUUAUCACAGAAAACCCAGUCUGGAUAAUCAUGGAGCUCUGUACACUUGGAGAGCUGAGGUCGUUCUUGCAAGUAAGGAAGUACAGCUUGGACCUGGCCUCUCUGAUACUCUAUGCUUACCAGCUUAGCACAGCUCUUGCCUACCUGGAGAGCAAAAGAUUUGUACAUAGGGAUAUUGCUGCUAGAAAUGUGCUGGUGUCUACCACUGACUGUGUGAAACUGGGUGACUUUGGAUUGUCCCGAUACAUGGAAGACAGUACUUACUACAAAGCUUCCAAAGGAAAAUUACCCAUCAAAUGGAUGGCUCCAGAGUCCAUCAAUUUCCGACGGUUUACCUCAGCUAGCGAUGUGUGGAUGUUUGGUGUGUGUAUGUGGGAGAUCCUCAUGCACGGGGUAAAGCCCUUCCAGGGAGUGAAGAACAAUGAUGUGAUUGGGCGGAUCGAGAACGGUGAGCGGCUCCCAAUGCCUCCAAACUGCCCUCCCACCCUCUACAGCCUUAUGACCAAGUGCUGGGCCUACGACCCCAGCAGGAGACCCAGGUUUACUGAACUUAAAGCACAACUCAGUACAAUACUGGAGGAAGAGAAGCUGCAGCAAGAAGAACGAAUGAGAAUGGAAUCCCGGCGACAAGUCACGGUGUCCUGGGACUCAGGAGGAUCAGAUGAAGCUCCUCCCAAGCCCAGUAGACCUGGUUACCCCAGCCCCAGAUCCAGUGAAGGCUUUUAUCCAAGCCCACAGCAUAUGGUACAGCCAAAUCAUUACCAGGUGUCUGGCUACCCUGGUUCUCAUGGGAUACCAGCCAUGGCAGGCAGCAUUUAUCCUGGGCAGGCUUCUCUCCUGGAUCAAACAGAUUCCUGGAACCAUCGGCCUCAGGAAAUACCAGUGUGGCAACCAAACAUGGAGGAUUCAGGCACUUUGGACAUCCGUGGGAUGAGCCAGGUUCUGCCCACACACCUCAUGGAGGAGAGGUUGAUACGGCAGCAGCAGGAGAUGGAGGAGGAUCAGCGCUGGCUCGAAAAAGAAGAACGAUUCCUGAAACCCGACAUGAGGCACUCCAGAGGCAGCAUUGACCGCGAGGACGGAGCUCUGCAGGGCCCUGCUGGUAACCAGCACAUAUAUCAGCCUGUGGGAAAACCAGAUCACGCGGCUCCGCCAAAGAAGCCCCCGCGCCCCGGAGCCCCCGGGCACCUGGGCAGCCUGGCCAGCCUCAACAGCCCCGUGGACAGCUACAACGAGGGUGUGAAGGUAGGGGAACACCCAGAAAAUGGAACAUUCCCAGGGCCACUUUGUUCAUUACCAGUGAAACAGCCCCAGCAAAUCAAACAUGGCAGCUCUGAGGUAGUUUGGUGUUCCUGAAGUAGAGAGCAUGGAAAGCAAAGGGGACAGAAUUCAUGAGUAAAUAAUGUCAUGGGGCAAACAGCUCCAGGGGAGUGGGGAGGGAACUCAGAGUCUCCCUGGCUGUGAUUUAGUGUGCUCCUCACCUAGAACCUGCCCAGGUGAGCUUAUUUCUAGUGUGGAAUGAUGAGGUGUCCCAAAUAGACCCAGCUCCCUGUUGGGCAGGGUGGAGCAUGCCCAGGGAUCCCAGUUGCUCAGAUGGUACCAGAGUCUUCUGUCUUUGGUCACAGGAGGUGAGACCUCUCCUGCAGUGCUCAAAAAGCUCUUGCUGCAGCACCAGAGCUCCUCAAAUACUACCAGCUCUGGGGAGCAAGGGAAGAGGGGAAAUGGGCUGUCUGACCUGGGAGGGAGAUACUUCCUAAUGUGUUCUUUCAUUUCCCAUAAAUAGCAAUAAAGCCAAAACUGAAACUUGACAGUGGUUUUGUAGGAGAGGUGCUGCUACAGGGUGCAGUGUCCUGCCCCUGCUGCAAUUGGUGUCCACAGAACAGCUCCUAAGGAUGUCAGGCACUCCCAAAAUCAUCCCUUUGUGUGCUGUUUCCUGCCUGUGGGACUCUGCCACCUUUCUAAUCUCCAGGAAACAGCCCUGCCAGGCCUGUAGUAAAGAACAGGAAUCCAUGGUGUGAUGGCCACAGCAGUUGGGAUGAGUGACCCUUAUUUUAGGUGAUUUAAGGAAAUACAGAAAAAGCCCAGUUCAUCUGAACAUGAAAUUCAGAACUGCCAUCAGAGCAGUGUGUUCAGCACAACUUGAUCCCAGCCACUGCCAGCCUGCCUCACUCCUGCUCGUGUUCUGGGAUUAUUGGAAUGUUUAAGAACCAGUGUAAAUAGCCAGCAGUGGUGAAUUUGAGCAGGAUUAUUUAUCAUAAACUGAUGCCAGUGCUUUACAAGCUGCCAAGCCUCAGAAAAUGUCAAAAAGCAGUAACAGAUGUGUUCCUAAACUCAGCUUCUCUGAAAUUUCCUUUCUAAAUGCUGAUGCUGGAACAUGAAAUAAUGUUUUUGAAGUAAAUCCUUCUGACAACAAACAAACCUGAGCAGUCAGAGACAUCAGUAGUGACAAGUGAACGGGAUUUGUGUACUAAAUAGCUCUUUGAGUAGAAAAGAAGGGCUGAUUUUUUUUCUUCUGUCAAAAUUUUCUUGGAAUUGGAUUGUUUUAUGCCCCUUGAAGAAAACAGCCCAUUACUUUUUUGGCAUAGCUUUGUUAAUGGUUGCAGUCCUAAACUGAAGAUGCUUCUGGGGUUCAUUUCAGACUCCCUUUUCUGUACCCCCAGUUCAGACUCCCCUUUUUAGGGAGAGCACAGAUGAAGAGGAUUGGAAUUUCCUGCCCUUGGGAGCCUUCAGGGCAGGCUCCAGAGAGUUCAGCCAGUUCCACAAAGAAACUCAAAAUUCUGCAGAGUAGUGGUGUUGAUAUUGGGGAUAAGCAAAGAGAAACCAAGAUCUGAGAAACACAAUGUCCAUAGUCUUGAAAAGUUUGGGUCUGGAGUUCUGAGGGUUGGGAAUCAUCUGGAAUGGGUUCUGGGUAGUUCCUGGCCAUGGCUGUGAUGAGUUCUUGUGAACAAGUCCUGCACAGUUAAAUCACCCAUGUAUUUUCCAUCAUGACUUACCUAAACAAGAAGUUCCAGAAAUAUGAGUACAAAAUUUGUAUCCUAGACUGUUUGUGCAGAGGGACCAGCAGAGUUCCCAGGACAGGUUUCCCAGGCCCUUGCUCCACUCAGCACUCUGCCACACUGGCUUGCUCCUGUCAGCUUUGCAUGAUCUCCUGCCCGUGUGUUGAGUCAGGAGGAAGCAUGGGGUGCAUGGCAAACCCUUCCACUGCCCACAGGGGUGCACAGCAGCUCUUCUGUCACACAGGCCCCAGAGCUAACACGGGUGGCUGCCAGUUCUGGUGAGGAUGUGUUUUCAUUGCAGGCUUUUUAACUGGUCUCUGAUUGCUACACAUGUUUUGGGUUUGUUUGGUUUUAUUUUUAUUUUUUUUUCCUGCUGAGUUUUAUUAAUAUUGUUUUUCUUUUUUUCCCUUCUUUUGGUAAAUUUCUUUAACUUCCCCCCACAUUCUGCUCAACCAUAGCCAUGGAGGAUCCAGCCGCAGGAGAUCAGCCCUCCCCCCACGGCCAACCUG